ensembl:lncRNA
AUGGAGGGUGUUGAUGGGGACUGGUGAUAUGUAAUGGAGGGUGUUGAUGACAAGGUAAAGCCAGCAUGGGGAACACUGUACAGGGGACUGGUGAUAUGUAAUGGGGGUGUUGAUGGGGACUGGUGAUAUGAAAUGGAGGGUGUUGAUGGGGACUGGUGAUAUACAAUGGAGGGUGUUGAUGACAAGGUAAAGCCAGCAUGGAGAACACUGUACAGGGGACUGGUGAUAUGUAAUGGGGGGGUGUUGAUGACAAGGUAAAGCCAGCAUAGAGAACACUGUACAGGGGACUGGUGAUAUGUAAUGGAGGGUGUUGAUGGGGACUGGUGAUAUGUAAUGGAGGGUGUUGAUGGGGGCUGGUGAUAUGUAAUGGGGGGUGUUGAUGACAAGGUAAAGCCAGCAUGGGGAACACUGUACAGGGGACUGGUGAUAUGUAAUGGAGGGUGUUGAUGGGGACUGGUGAUAUGUAAUGGAGGGUGUUGAUGGGGACUGGUGAUAUGUAAUGGAGGGUGUUGAUGGGGACUGGUGAUAUGUAAUGGAGGGUGUUGAUGACAAG